rnacentral:snoRNA from 1 species
GCGGUCUGAAAAUCACUCCUGGUCUCCUGUGGCCUUGUGUGAGAUAACCACGCCCACAGCAUCGGGAACAUUAAGCUUAUUCCCCGCGGCUAUGUGUGGGGAGUGAAACCCAUGUUCCCAUAAGC